AGAGUUUGAUCCUGGCUCAGAUUGAACGCUGGCGGCAGGCUUAACACAUGCAAGUCGAGCGGGGWRRURUAGCUUGCUAYAYKACCUAGCGGCGGACGGGUGAGUAAUGCUUAGGAAUCUGCCUAUUAGUGGGGGACAACAUUCCGAAAGGAAUGCUAAUACCGCAUACGCCCUACGGGGGAAAGCAGGGGAUCUUCGGACCUUGCGCUAAUAGAUGAGCCUAAGUCAGAUUAGCUAGUUGGUGGGGUAAAGGCCUACCAAGGCGACGAUCUGUAGCGGGUCUGAGAGGAUGAUCCGCCACACUGGGACUGAGACACGGCCCAGACUCCUACGGGAGGCAGCAGUGGGGAAUAUUGGACAAUGGGCGMAAGCCUGAUCCAGCCAUGCCGCGUGUGUGAAGAAGGCCUUUUGGUUGUAAAGCACUUUAAGCGAGGAGGAGGCUACYKRGAUUAAUACUCUWGGAUAGUGGACGUUACUCGCAGAAUAAGCACCGGCUAACUCUGUGCCAGCAGCCGCGGUAAUACAGAGGGUGCGAGCGUUAAUCGGAUUUACUGGGCGUAAAGCGUGCGUAGGCGGCUUUUUAAGUCGGAUGUGAAAUCCCUGAGCUUAACUUAGGAAUUGCAUUCGAUACUGGGAAGCUAGAGUAUGGGAGAGGAUGGUAGAAUUCCAGGUGUAGCGGUGAAAUGCGUAGAGAUCUGGAGGAAUACCGAUGGCGAAGGCAGCCAUCUGGCCUAAUACUGACGCUGRGGUACGAAAGCAUGGGGAGCAAACAGGAUUAGAUACCCUGGUAGUCC
rnacentral:rRNA from 1 species